rnacentral:misc_RNA from 1 species
CAGUCUAGGGGGCAUAUAAUAUAUGUUGCAUGUUGAAAUAUUCUGGCUAUCAAGAGAAAAAUUCAAGAGCAUUUGAAAUAAACGAGGUGAAUGAGUUAUUGAAGAGGGAUAACCGGUAUUUUCCACCAUAAGGAGGGCACGUGACAUAUAACAGGAGGAGAAUCGAAUCACUUUAAACCGGCCAUAGGCUGGUUAUGUGAAAAUGUUUCGAUGGCAAUGUUGAAUUAAAAACAAGAUGGUCACAUAAAUCAAUACGACUGUCGAAAAAACGGGCAGGGAUGCUAAAACCAUCAUCCCUGAGAAACAUGAAGUCAUCACAAUGUACAUGUAUCUUUUCUGAUGUCAAUGUCGUAUGCCUCCAAAAAUGAUAGGGUAUCAUCAAUUUGGAAAAGCUCAGAACAUUAUUUAUGGAAUGUAGAAGACAUACUUGGGCGUGGGGCCACAGCUGUGGUACACAAGGCUGUUAGAAAGGAUAAUGGAGAAGGCUGUGCUGUUAAGGUAUUCCAUGAUCGUGUCUCGUUUCAUCAUUCAUCGGUACCGAGAAGGGAGUUGGAUAUUGUUACAAGUCUAAAUCAUAAAAAUGUCAUCCGCAUCUUUGGAAUUGAUGUUGAUUCUGCUGGGAAUCAUGUGUUGGGUAUGGAGUACUGCCGCGCUGGCAGUGUCUACACACAGCUUGAUAAACCAGAAAAUGCAUUUGGGUUUCCUGAAGAGGAGUUUCAGCGAGUCCUUCAUGACAUCGCCCAUGGCAUGCAUUAUCUCAAACGAAACGGAAUCAUUCACAGAGACAUCAAACCAGGAAACAUCAUGAAAUUCAUUGAUGAAGAUGGCAGUUCGAUCUACAAGCUGACAGAUUUUGGGGCUGCUAAGAAGGUUGAUGAGGAGGAAGAGUUCACAUCAAUCUAUGGAACAGAGGAAUAUCUAGAUCCAGACAUGUACAAUCAGGCAGUGCUGAGACGACAGUUCAAAGAUCACGGACAGACCUUCACCGGUAAUGUCGAUAUCUGGAGCUUGGGUGUGACGUUGUACCAUGUAGCCACGGGACGCCUUCCCUUCAUGCCACACGGUGGCCGAUCCAACUCACACACAAUGCAUCGCAUCACAAAAGAGAAGGAACAAGGGGUCAUAUCAGGUAUUCAGCGCACAGCUGAUGGUCCGAUUGAGUACUCCAGACAACUCCCAAAAACCUGUGUCUUAUCGCCAUGUUUGAAAAACCUGAUAGUGCCAGUGUUGGCAGGCUUGAUGGAGAGUACAUUGUCAGUCCGCUGGUCCUUCGAUCGUUUCUUUGAUGCUGUCAACAACAUACUAAACAUGAAGGUCAUCAAGAUGUUUGAAUGUAACUCCGGAUGUAACCUGCGGAUUUAUGUCGGAAAAAGUGACAGAUAUGCCAGUUUUCAAGAAGUGCUAGCCAGAGAAACGGACAUUCCAGCAGUGGAACAAUUGAUCCUCUACGACAACAGAGAACUGAGUGAAAUCGUCGUACAAACGAUGGAGAUCCAGGAAUACCCAAAGAGGAUCCUGACUGGACAACUCUUCCUCUACAGUCGUGAGAGAGUCGACAGACAGAAGCUAGCUCUCCCUGAAAUACCAUCUUUCCCAACCAUGCCUGAACACAUGGCGAUAGACAAGGACUCGCACUACCUCCAUAAGAUCUGUGCUAUCGCAUGCCUCAUCAGUAAAUCAAUAUCCAACAUCAUCCAACAGCAAGAACUCAUGGAGCAGGCCGAGACCCAUCUGAGGGAUUUCAUUUUCCAAAUCAUCAAACGAAUCAACAGUUGCGUUCCUGACAUGUCAGAACACCUGAUGGAAAAUGAUAUGCAUCAGAAAACAUUCUUUGCCAGUUAUUCAUGCUUGAACGAACUCGUACAAGUGAUAGAACAGAACCACAGCCAAGGAACCACGCUCAAACGAGCCAAAGUCAAACUGAGACAAAUACUAAACGACGAAUCACCAAAAGAAGUUUUACAAAAGGCAAUGAACCGUUGCAAUGAAGUCAAAGUCUACAUGGAAGUACUUGUAGAAAAGAUGAACGAGCAUGAGCGAGAUGCCAUGUUCAGCUAUGCCAGAUGCUCUGAGGACGAUCAUUGUGUACAGAAGAGCAGUUACUUAGUGACACUCCUGACAGAGAUCUGGACUAUGUUUACAAAACACAGAAAACAAAGGACUCUGUUAACGGAGGAAGAAUUCAUACACAACACUCAGAAAUUGAAAUCGCAAGAAUAUUCAGCGAGACUCCUAUCCAUCCUGGAAGGCCAUUGUCGUAUCAAUGUCAUACAGACGUACGACGUCACCACCAAGCAGAUCAGCUUACUCCUGAAAAACCUACAGAGGACAAAGAAAGUCGAUCAGAACAUCCGCAGUGUGAAGGACUGUCGUGUGAAGCUGAGUGAAAGAAUAGGCAAGAUGGAAAUUGAAUGCAAGAAGAUAGCUGACGAAGCCAUAGAAAUGACGCAGUGGUGCCUUAGAACCACUGCUCAAGGUGCAACAGCUAUGCCCUUGCUUCCAUAUGAAACCUUGUCUACUGCCACUCCGUUCAGUUCCUUCAGCAUGGAGAGAGUGUCUCUCAGCAUGAAGUCACUGAUCGACAGCAGGAGGGAGAUUAAUGAUCUUAUGGCACAAAGCAACUCCAGAUUGGAAGAAUCUAGUCACCUGAUGAAAUCACUGAUACACCCGAAGAAAGCUGGACAACAUGAAGAUCCUGGUCCAUCUGAAAUGGGAACGUCUGACUUGAAAAAAGUCACAUUUCAGCCAAGCAUCCAAGCCACAUCUGGUGACUAUGAACACUAAGUCAUAGCUGAGACGUUACCUGGUGGGAACUUCUGUACACAACAUUGGGAUUCGUAAUCAUGGUAACGCAGAUGCUAAUGGUCACCAGAUUAAUGGCUGGUGCAGUUUAAUCUGGACAGCGGAUUGGUCAAAGAUCAGAAUCUCUCGUCAUUUCUUCAUUAUCCCGGUUCUACUGGUAACCAGCUUUUUCUUCGGGCAAGGAUGAUGCCGAUUCUCAGCAACCCUCAAUCACGUCAACAGCUUGUGUGGUCAGAAGAGGCUUUACAGUAAAGUAUGAAAGGAGCGGUAACACAACUUUAUUUUCACCGCUGGAAUGCACACCACCCUAGAUAAUGAUCGUGAGGAGAGAUUGUGUUGUAAUUAUACAGAGUAUGAUCAGUCUAUCCCUUUUCUCCUGAACCAGCCUUUAGUCAGGACGCUUAACACAACAGAUAUCCUGGAUUAUUUCCUGAAAAAAUUGUGAAGAAGAAUUUUCGUGACAGUAACACCAUCAAGUGACAAAUGCUUGGAUGACAUCACUGUUAAGGCAAUAGUAUUUGAAACCUGAGUUAAAAUAUCCCUAAGCUAUGGGGAAAGGUACCUGAUCAUAGAUAUACUACCACAUAUAUCUGAUCUUUCCUUGACCUAGAAUUAUGGAAGUCUGUAUUUGAUCAAUUACCAACUUCACUAACAAAUUCGAAGAAGAAAAUGAAAAAAAAAAUCAAAGAUUAAAAAAUAAAAUCUAUUGGUAGUAUCAGGAGGGGGAAAAACGUUUUUUAUUGUAAAUGAGGAACAUCCAAAGAAAAGGUGUGAAAAAAAAUCCAGAUAAGCGUGAAAUUAUUUCACACGGAGUGAGGCAUCAGAUCGAAUGUGUUGUUAUGUAUAUUUCCAUGGGAAAAUACCGUUCAUUGUGUGCACAUUUCUGUGCUAAUUCCUGAAGGUCUUCACAUUUCUGGGAAUGUAGAUCCAGAUUGACCUUACAGCCGGUUGGGUACCGGUUACAACUUCCUACUACAAGUUCCAACAAGGAUUCGUCUCAGUUUGAUCGAGUGACUUAUUAUAAAUAUGAAGCUGUCAUUGAUAAUGACAAUGUUUAAACAGCUUAUGUCUAAUAUUAUAUGUUCCAUAAAUAUUGCUCUGAGCUUUUCCGGGAUACCUACAAACUGCAGUUUGCAACUGCGGUUUGAUGUUAUGAAUAUAUAUUGUAUAAAUAAAUACAUUGUAUUUUGCAA